UCCUCGGUGGCUCAGAUGGACAGAGCGUCUGCUACGAAAGCAGGAGAUCCGGGGUUCGAGUCCCCGUCGGGGCA